UACGUAGGGACCAAGCGUUGUCCGGAAUCACUGGGCGUAAAGGGCGCGUAGGUGGCUUGGCAAGCGUGUGGUGAAAGCCCGGGGCUCAACCCCGGGUCUGCCGUGCGAACUGCUAUGGCUUGAGCACUGUAGAGGCAGGUAGAAUUCUGGGUGUAGCGGUGGAAUGCGUAGAGAUCCGGAAGAAUACCGGUGGCGAAGGCGGCCUGCUGGGCAGUGGCUGACACUGAGGCGCGACAGCGUGGGGAGCAAACAGG
rnacentral:rRNA from 1 species